rnacentral:rRNA from 1 species
UACGUAGGGACCAAGCGUUGUCCGGAAUCAUUGGGCGUAAAGCGCGCGUAGGUGGCCAUUUAAGUCCGCUGUGAAAGUCAAAGGCUCAACCUUUGAAAGCCGGUGGAUACUGGAUGGCUAGAGUACGGAAGAGGCGAGUGGAAUUCCUGGUGUAGCGGUGGAAUGCGCAGAUAUCAGGAGGAACACCAAUAGCGAAGGCAGCUCGCUGGGACGUUACUGACACUGAGGCGCGAAAGCGUGGGGAUCAAACAGG